GCCUUCGUGGUGUCAUGGUCAGCACACUCGGCCCGUAUUCGACAGGCCCGAGGUUCGAAUCCUGGCGAGGGUA
rnacentral:tRNA from 1 species